GCCCGUCGCUCCUACCGAUUGGAUGACUCGGUGAAAUCACCGGAUGCUUACGAGCAGAAAGUGAUUAAAUCACGUUAUCUAGAGGAAGGAGAAGUCGUAACAAGGUAACGGUAGGUGAACCUGCCGUUGGAUCAGUUCUAGUUUUAAUAACUAACACCAACUUCUUUUAUUAACAAAAACCAAUACAAA
rnacentral:rRNA from 1 species